AUUGGCAAUUGUUGAGUUGCCCAUCGUUGAGUUCCCGGCUGUGGCAUUGGUUGGGGGCUGCACACUGAUCUGAGCGAGAACUGGACUGGUCCACGCCAAGGCUGUGCCAGCAGCCACGGCACCCAAACACACUAGCUGCCGCAUAUUGACGGGUCUUUGAAGUCUUAACCACACCAUCCUGCAGUGGGUCGUAUAGCAUUGGGUUGCGCGCUGAAGGAUCUGCAUCCUCCUGGCUGACAGUCUGUAAAACAAGUUGGAUUUUUCUUUAGUUAGCUAGUUAAAAAAAGAAAAUGAUGGCUCUCUUUAUGAGUUUAUCAUUUCAUUUUCGUCAUUGAAACACAUUUGAAAAGAGUCUUUUGUGUUGUUUUUGCCAUAAAAGUUUUGUCCUUUACCUGCCACCAGCGCGCCAUGGCGCGUACGACUUUAUCCGAAUCCAUUUCGAGACUUUCCCGAUUUCCGGGUUGUUAUUUCUGACAAUGCCUCUGACUUAUGUAAGUCAAACAACACACACACAGAACGCACUUUUUGCCUUAAAAAACACUAGCUUAUGGUUUGUUUUGCGCUUAUUUAUAUCUCUUGUCAUUUAUUAUCUAAGCAUAGAUAUAUGUACAUAUAUUUUUAUAUUUGAAUAUA